rnacentral:rRNA from 1 species
UACGUAGGGGGCAAGCGUUAUCCGGAUUUACUGGGUGUAAAGGGAGCGUAGACGGCCUUGCAAGUCUGGUGUGAAAGCCCGGGGCUCAACCCCGGGACUGCAUUGGAAACUGCAUGGCUGGAGUGCAGGAGAGGUAAGCGGAAUUCCUAGUGUAGCGGUGAAAUGCGUAGAUAUUAGGAGGAACACCAGUGGCGAAGGCGGCUUACUGGACUGUAACUGACGUUGAGGCUCGAAAGCGUGGGGAGCAAGCAGG